CAGGACAUCUUUGCUGUUGGCAAGGACAGAGGAAUUGUAUGCAAGUUUGCUGACAACACCAAGCUGUGUGGUGCCAUCGACAUGCGGGAGGAAAGGGAUGCCAUCAAGAGGGACCUUGACAGGCUUGAGAGGUCGGCCUCUGUGAACCUCAUGAAGUUCAACAAGGCCAAGUGCAAAGUCCUGCAUCUGCAUCAGGGCAAUCCCAAUCACAAAUACAGGCUGGGCAGAGAAUGGACUGAAAGCAGCCCAGGUGGGAAGGACUUGGGGGGUGUUUGUGGACAUAAAACUCAACAUGGCAGCCAGCAGUGUGUGCCCACAGCACAGAAAGCCAAACAUACCCUGGGCUGCAUCAGAAGCAGGAUGGGCAGCAGGCUGAAGGAAGUGAUUUUCUCCCUCUGCUCUGCUGAGACCCUGCCUUGAGUAAUGUGUCCAGCUCUGGGGUCCUGAGCAAAAGAAAAUUUCUGACUUCUAGAAUGAGUUCAGAGGAGGGCCCAUGAGUGGAUCACUGGGCUGGGGCACCUCUCCUAUGAAGACGGACUUCACAGACAGAAGAAGACAGGCUAUGAAGACAGAGUUGGGGCUGUUUAGUCUGGAGAAGAGAAAGCUCUGGGGAGACUUUAGAGCAGCCUUCCAGCAUCUGAAGGGGAUCUAGUAGAGAGAUGGAGAGGGACCUUUUACAAGGGCAUGUAGUGAUAGGACAAUGGGGAGUGGCUUUGAGUUGAAAGAGAGUAGAUUUAGAUACCAGGACGAAAUUCUUUACUCUAAGGAUUGUGAGGGUCUGGCAGAGGUUGCCCAGAGAAGCUGUGAACUUGCCAUCGUAGAUCCAGGCUGGAUGGGGCUCUGAGCAACCUGGACUACUGGAAGGUUCCCUGCACAUGUCAGGGGGUUGGAACUAGAUGAUCUUUAAGGUCCCUUCCAACCCAAACCAUUCCAUGAUUCUAUGAUCAUGAAGACAUAAACAGCAUCAGUAUGUGAUUACAUUUUUUAAUUUAAAUAGGAGGUGUUAAUCUACUGAUUAACAUUGUCAUAUUUCAACUUUGUUAGCUGGAGGCUGUUUUCAUGUGCUUCUCUAUUAGUUUUAUAAGGGAGGAAAAAAAAGAUGAAAAAAAGCCUACUUAUACUUCUACUUUUAAUUAAUGUGAAAGCAUUCAUGGGAAACAUGCAAUAUUUUAGUGCUGUGCUGUGAUCCUGACUUGUAUUCACUUCAGCAAGUGAUGAAUUAAGAUGUAAAGUGAAUGCUCUUUUUGACUGAAAUGCAGCACAUGGAAAACCAACUCUGUCUUUAAGUGCAGCCUUUCUGUUUUUCUCAUGUUUCAUAUAACAAUGAUAAGAGGCAGCAGGUAUCUCUUGGUCACUAAUUUCUUGUAUUCGUCAGUUUUUCUGAAAUAUAUUUAUGGUCAUCCAAACAGAGCACUUCUUUCCUAGCUGCAUCAUAAUCAAGCCUUCAAAAAUGCUUUCUAAUUGGCUUUCUAACUCCAUAUUUCUUACAUUAAAAUUGAUUUGUUUUCCAAAGCUCAUCUGAGAUUGAUAAUCUUUCUCUGUAACCGAAAUCCAUUUCCCUGGCUAUGAGUUCCAAUUGCUUUCACAUCACCAUUAACUGCUGUAUUAGUUUGUGUGCAUAUAAAACUGUUUGAACUAAGUUAUUUCUGUGUGUUUGGUUUAACCUGUCAGGUUGAACACCACACAGUUGUUCACUCACUUGCCCACAGGGAUGAGGGACGCAAUCAGAAAAUAGGUAAAACUUGUGGGUUCAGGAAAAGACAGUUUAGUAGAAUGGAAGAGGAAGGAAAAAUAGUAGUAAAAAUGAUAAUAAUUGCACAAAAUAAUGCACUAUGCAAUUUCUCAACACCCACUGACCGAUGCCCAUUCCAUCCCAGAGCAGCAGCUGCUGCCCCCCAACUAAUUCCCCCCAGUUUUAUUGUUCAGCAUGAUGCCAAAUGGUUUGGAAUAUCCUGCUGGCCAAUUGAGGUCAGCUAUCCUGGCCGUGUCCCUUCCCAGCUUUUUGUGUCAUCAUCCUUUCUAUCCGGGAAGAAUGAGAAGCAGAAAAGUCCCUGACAGUGUAAGCACUGCUCAGCAACAACAAAACCAUCAGUGUGUUACCAACAUUAUUGUUAUCCUGAAUCCAAACCACAACACUGUACCAGCUACUAGGAAGAAAAUUAAUUCUAUCCCAACCAAAACCAGGACACUUGCAAUCAAGUAUAGU